GGGCCGGUAGAUCAGCUCGGUAACAGUCCAGCAUUAUGUGGCUGUCGGGAAAGAUCGCCUCCUUGGCAUGGAGGAGGUCGCGUGUUCAAAUCACGCCCGGUCCACCA
rnacentral:tRNA from 1 species